rnacentral:rRNA from 1 species
GGAUAGUUGGGGGCAUUAAUAUUUAAUUGUCAGAGGUGAAAUUCUUGGAUUUAUGAAAGAUUAACUUCUGCGAAAGCAUCUGCCAAGGAUGUUUUCAUUAAUCAAGAACGAAAGUUAGGGGAUNGAAGACGAUCAGAUACCGUNGUAGUCUUAACCAUAAACGAUGCCGACCAGCGAUUAGGAGACGUUGAAUACAAAACACCACCAUCGGUUGCGGUCGUCCUUGGCGUCUCGGUUUCGGCCGGGGCGCGGGGACGGUUUAGCCCGGUGGCACCGGUGAAUGACUCCCCUAGCAGCUUGUGAGAAAUCAUAAGUCUUUGGGUUCCGGGGGGAGUAUGGUCGCAAGGCUGAAACUUAAAGGAAUUGACGGAAGGGCACCACCAGGAGUGGAGCCUGCGGCUUAAUUUGACUCAAC